rnacentral:rRNA from 1 species
UUAUUUGAGAGUUUGAUCCUGGCUCAGGAUGAACGCUGGCGGCGUGCCUAACACAUGCAAGUUGAGCGAUUUACUUCGGUAAAGAGCGGCGGACGGGUGAGUAACGCGUGGGUAACCUACCCUGUACACACGGAUAACAUACCGAAAGGUAUGCUAAUACGGGAUAAUAUAUUUGAGAGGCAUCUCUUAAAUAUCAAAGGUGAGCCAGUACAGGAUGGACCCGCGUCUGAUUAGUUAGUUGGUAAGGUAACGGCUUACCAAGGCGACGAUCAGUAGCCGACCUGAGAGGGUGAUCGGCCACAUUGGAACUGAGACACGGUCCAAACUCCUACGGGAGGCAGCAGUGGGGAAUAUUGC